AUUGAACGCUGGCGGCAGGCCUAACACAUGCAAGUCGAGCGGCAUAGGGAAGUAGCUUGCUACUUUGCCGGCGAGCGGCGGACGGGUGAGUAACGUCUGGGAAACUGCCUGAUGGAGGGGGAUAACUACUGGAAACGGUAGCUAAUACCGCGCGAUGUCGCAAGACCAAAGAGGGGGACCUCCGGGCCUCUCGCCAUCAGAUGGUCCCAGAUGGGAUUAGCUAGUUGGUGGGGUAAAGGCUCACCUAGGCGACGAUCCCUAGCUGGUCUGCGAGGAUGACCAGCCACACUGGGACUGAGACACGGCCCAGACUCCGACGGGAGGCAGCAGGGGGGAAUAUUGCACAAUGGGCGCAAGCCUGAUGCAGCCAUGCCGCGUGUGUGAAGAAGGCCUUAGGGUUGUAAAGCACUGUCAGCGGGGAGGAAGGGUAUAGGCUUAAUACGUUUAUACAUAGACGUUACCCGCAGAAGAAGCACCGGCUAACUCCGUGCCAGCAGCCGCCGUAAGAC
rnacentral:rRNA from 1 species